rnacentral:rRNA from 1 species
UGCAAGUCGAACGGUCGUUUCUAUGGAAGCUUGCUUCCACUGAGAAGAUAGUGGCGAACGGGUGAGUAACACGUGGGUAACCUGCCCAUAAGAGGGGGAUAACGAUCCGGAAACGGUGCUAAUACCGCAUAGUUCCUGAUCGCAUGAUGAGAAAGGAAGACGGCCUUGUGCUGUCGCUUAUGGAUGGACCCGCGGCGUAUUAGUUAGUGGUGAGGUAACGGCUCACCAAGACGAUGAUACGUAGCCGACCUGAGAGGGUGAUCGGCCACAUUGGGACUGAGACACGGCCCAAACUCCUACGGGAGGCAGCAGUAGGGAAUCUUCCGCAAUGGACGAAAGUCUGACGGAGCAACGCCGCGUGAGUGAAGAAAAGGUUUCGGAUCGUAAAACUCUGUUGUCAGAGAAGAACAAGUUGGAGAGUAACUGCUCCAGCCUUGACGGUAUCUGACCAGAAAGCCACCGGCUAACUACGUGCCAGCCGCCGC